AACGAACGCUGGCGGCAGGCUUAACACAUGCAAGUCGAACGCCCCGCAAGGUGAGUGGCAGACGGGUGAGUAACACGUGGGGAUCUGCCCAAUGGUACGGAAUAGCUCCGGGAAACUGGAAUUAAUACCGUAUGUGCCCUUCGGGGGAAAGAUUUAUCGCCAUUGGAUGAGCCCGCGUCGGAUUAGCUAGUUGGUGUGGUAAAGGCGCACCAAGGCGACGAUCCGUAGCUGGUCUGAGAGGAUGAUCAGCCACACUGGGACUGAGACACGGCCCAGACUCCUACGGGAGGCAGCAGUGGGGAAUAUUGGACAAUGGGCGCAAGCCUGAUCCAGCCAUGCCGCGUGAGUGAUGAAGGCCCUAGGGUUGUAAAGCUCUUUCGCCGACGAAGAUAAUGACGGUAGUCGGAGAAGAAGCCCCGGCUAACUUCGUGCCAGCCGCCGCGGUAACAC
rnacentral:rRNA from 1 species